UUCCUCGACCAAUUUUAUUCUGUUUUCGACCAUUUUUCUUCUAGGAAAUUUUUCUUCCUUCGAGCAAUUUUCCUUCUUGGAAAGAUCUUCACUUUUUGGCUUCGUAUUUCUCAAUUUGUGAUUGAUUGAUUGAUUCACUGCUAUCUUCUUCAAUCCCAUCUCCUUAAUUGCUCGCUUCCAGCCCUUAGUGAUGUGAUAGAAACGCUAGAGUUUGCUUCCAGAAUCUCAUGAUUGAAUAAGCAGGAUGAAAAACCCAUGGUGAAGAUGGUAUACCUGUUACUUGAUCAUGUGGAUCUUAUCAGAGAAAGGGACGAAGGCUCUAUGGUUCUGCAGUUUCUUUUCAGUUUGUAUUCUGUUCUGAAGAUGCCUCAGCUGGAUCUAAUAUUUAUCAGCGGAUUGCCGCCAAAUGUAUAUUACUCAAACUUUUUCUGAUAUAAUCUAAACGCAUGUGUCCGUUUUGCAGCACAGUACACUGUUCGUUCUUUUGGUAUCGGACGUAACGAGAAGAUUGCUUGCUACGUGACUGUCAGGGGAGACAAGGCAAUGCAACUCAUGGAGAGUGGGCAGAAAGUUAAAGAAUACGAACUUUUGAGAAGGAACUUUAGCGACACUGAUUGCUUCGGUUUUGGUAUUCAAGAGCAUAUUUAUUUGGGUAUCAAGUAAGUCUCAAUCUUUCUAACACAGAUAUAGAACAACAUGGUAAACUGUUGUUACUGAGAAUAACGAUGUUGUUGGCUAUCCUAUACGGAUUUUAUGUAAGUAGUACUCUGCUUAAUCAACUUAUCUGAGAAUAAGGCAUUGUAUUUGUUGGAUCAUUUGAAGAUUCAUCUUGAUUUCAAUUCUGUUCUUCAAA